GACGAACGCUGGCGGCGUGCUUAACACAUGCAAGUCGAGCGGAAAGGCCCUGCUUUUGUGGGGUGCUCGAGUGGCGAACGGGUGAGUAACACGUGAGUAACCUGCCCUUGACUUUGGGAUAACUUCAGGAAACUGGGGCUAAUACCGGAUAGGAGCUCCUGCUGCAUGGUGGGGGUUGGAAAGUUUCGGCGGUUGGGGAUGGACUCGCGGCUUAUCAGCUUGUUGGUGGGGUAGUGGCUUACCAAGGCUUUGACGGGUAGCCGGCCUGAGAGGGUGACCGGCCACAUUGGGACUGAGAUACGGCCCAGACUCCUACGGGAGGCAGCAGUGGGGAAUAUUGCACAAUGGGCGGAAGCCUGAUGCAGCAACGCCGCGUGCAGGAUGACGGCCUUCGGGUUGUAAACCGCUUUCGCCUGUGACGAAGCGUGAGUGACGGUAAUGGGUAAAGAAGCACCGGCUAACUACGUG
rnacentral:rRNA from 1 species